CUUUGCCUCAAGAAGAACCAGAGGCUCAAAAUGACGACUCUUUGCCUCAAGAAGAACCAGAGGCUCAAAAUGACGACUCUUUGCCUCAAGAAGAACCAGAGGCUCAAAAUGACG